rnacentral:rRNA from 1 species
GCAAGAAAUCAUCCAACCAUUCUCUUUCCCAACCCAGCACUACACCGCCGCUGCCUCCUCUCCUCCAUCUCUGCAUGGGCGCGCACCCCCAUCCUCCCCAACCUAGUCGCCGGCUGGCCGCUGCUCCCUCUCCUCCAUCUCUGCACGGGCGCGCACCCCCAUCCUCCUCAACCUGGUCGCCGGCCAGCCCCUGCGCGACGUCGUUCAUCGAGCUAGGGUUGGAGCAGCUCGGCGGCGAUGAGGAGCAGGCCAGCCCUCUCAAGAGGGUCGUCCACACCGUUGCCGUCGGUGACUUUCAGGGGCAGUCGGCGCCUCUCCUCUCUAAUCGCGACUCCGGCGACGUCGGCCAGGACGUUCGCAAUCGGCGCAAACGUGGUGGAGAUGUAGGGCCCCUUGAGGGAGAGGUCGAUGCUGAGUUGCGCCUGUUGAAGCAUGACGGAGAGGGGGAGGCCUUCCGGCCACCGCCGGCUCAGCGUCAGCUUAUGAUCGAGGUGCAGCUCCAGCAGCACCGGCAGUUUGCUGCGGGUCAUCAGCAGAGCGCAGUUCAUCUUCCAAAUCAUGCCCCGACCCCGGCUGCAUCUCCCCUUCCGCUACACGAACGCCUUGGGUGCGGUCUUUAGUCCUCACUGGUGAGCCCCUCCAUAUUAUUUUGUAUAGGGCUUCAGCCGCUGCUGCUUGCUUCUGUUUUAGGUGGUUGCCGCUUUGACAGGCGUUUGUGAAGCGAAUCAGGUUCGUUCUUCGGUCCGUUGAAGUGGCCGGGGAUUGUUCCGGACGUGGGACUCUGAGGCGCCCCUUCUUCGUGGGUAUUUUGCUGCUGCUUUUGUUUCUUCAUUGGAUAUGCCUCCAAUUUAAGCGCGCUGGCGAUGGCAAGAAGUUCGGCGUGGAAAGCGACCAGCUCCUUUCGUGGUAUUUGACCGGCUGUGCAGUCGAGUAGUGUGACCUGACGAUUUUUUUAUUUCCGUCUUUGGUUUCCGGUUCUGAUGGUCUGGGGUGAUCUCUGCUCCCUGUGCAAUGUGAUCUUAUAAUCUACUCCCUCCGUUCCUUUUAUGUACUAAGAGAAGCAUCUGACAUGUCCGUGCUGUACCGUCCCUGUUUCUCUUCUGGUCGGCACUCUGGUUCUUUGCAUAGUGUUGUUCCGAUUUUGUAGGCUGAUUGUAACCGGAAUGAGAACCGCAGUUGUUAGGAAUACCUUUUUGUUUUUACUGAGUGAAGCUACACCAGCCUCCUCGAAUCGAUGAUCAUGUAAGCAUCUAGCAGUCUUGAAUGUCACUCUCCC